rnacentral:misc_RNA from 1 species
CUGCCCUCAAGCCCGGCUUGUGUGUUGGGCCGCGUCCCCCCGGGGACGGGCCCGAAAGGCAGCGGCGGCACCGCGUCCGGUCCUCGAGCGUAUGGGGCUUUGUCACCCGCUCUUGCAGGCCCGGCCGGCGCCAGCCGACCCCCAACCAAAUUUUCUCA